rnacentral:rRNA from 1 species
GACGAACGCUGGCGGCGUGCCUAAUACAUGCAAGUCGAGCGAAGUUUUUCUGGUGCUUGCACUAGGAAAACUUAGCGGCGAACGGGUGAGUCACACGUAAAGAACCUGCCUCAUAGACUGGGACAACUAUUGGAAACGAUCGCUAAUACCGGAUAACAGUAUUUCUCGCAUGAGAGAUAUUUAAAAGUUGGUUAUGCUAACACUAUGAGAUGGCUUUGCGGUGCAUUAGCUAGUUGGUGGGGUAAAGGCCCACCAAGGCGACGAUGCAUAGCCGACCUGAGAGGGUGAUCGGCCACACUGGGACUGAGACACGGCCCAGACUCCUACGGGAGGCAGCAGUAGGGAAUCUUCCGCAAUGGGCGAAAGCCUGACGGAGCAACGCCGCGUGAGUGAAGAAGGAUUUCGGUUCGUAAAGCUCUGUUGUUAGGGAAGAAUGGAUAUGUAGUAACUAUACAUGUAAGAGACGGUACCUAACCAGAAAGCCACGGCUAACUACGUG